UACGUAGGGGGCAAGCGUUGUUCGGAUUUACUGGGCGUAAAGGGCGCGUAGGCGGCGCGUAAAGUCGGACAUGAAAUCAUUGGGCUUAACCUGAUGGCUGUGCCCGAUACUUACGUGCUUGGAGUGCGGGAGAGGCAAUCGGAAUUCUCGGUGUAGCGGUGAAAUGCGUAGAUAUCGAGAGGAACUCCGGUGACGAAGGUGGGUUGCUGGACCGACACUGACGCUGAGGCGCGAAAGCUAGGGGAGCAAACGGG
rnacentral:rRNA from 1 species